rnacentral:rRNA from 1 species
UACGGGAGGCAGCAGUGGGGAAUAUUGGACAAUGGGCGAAAGCCUGAUCCAGCCAUGCCGCGUGUGUGAAGAAGGCCUUUUGGUUGUAAAGCACUUUAAGCGAGGAGGAGGCUACUUAGAUUAAUACUCUAGGAUAGUGGACGUUACUCGCAGAAUAAGCACCGGCUAACUCUGUGCCAGCAGCCGCGGUAAUACAGAGGGUGCGAGCGUUAAUCGGAUUUACUGGGCGUAAAGCGUGCGUAGGCGGCUUUUUAAGUCGGAUGUGAAAUCCCUGAGCUUAACUUAGGAAUUGCAUUCGAUACUGGGAAGCUAGAGUAUGGGAGAGGAUGGUAGAAUUCCAGGUGUAGCGGUGAAAUGCGUAGAGAUCUGGAGGAAUACCGAUGGCGAAGGCAGCCAUCUGGCCUAAUACUGACGCUGAGGUACGAAAGCAUGGGGAGCAAACAGGAUUAGAUACCCUGGUAGUCCAUGCCGUAAACGAUGUCUACUAGCCGUUGGGGCCUUUGAGGCUUUAGUGGCGCAAAUAACGCGAUAAGUAGAGCA